AGUAUUUUCAUUAUUAUUUAUUUGAUUUUUAGUUUAUUUGAAAUAAGAAAAUUAAAUUUUUAUUAUUGGGGUAGAAAUAAUUUUGUUUUAUUAUAGUUUAUUAGUACUGUAGGGGAAGUGGUUUAUAUUAUUUUAAAGAAGGUUUUAUUAACUGUACCUUGUGUAUCAGGGUUUAUUAACUAAGGGCUAUUUAUUGAUGGUGUUCUCGAUUUUAGAAGAGCUAAUUACUUAUUUAUUUUAUUGUUGAAUAAAUAUUUAUAAUAGGUAAUUCGAAGUGAAAUGUUAUUCGUUUCUAAAUAUAUCUAGUUUUUUGAGAAAUAGAUUUAAUCUAAUUAAUUUUAUACAAUUAUUUAAAUUUAUAAUAUGUUGUAUUAAAUUAUUAAAUAUCUUAGGGGAUGAGCUUUAAGAUAAAAACUUAUAAAUAAGUAAUUUUACUGGGAUGUAAAUAGGAUUAGAAAUUUUCAUUUUUAUUAAGGUGUUAUAAUUUUCAUUUUUUUUAUUAUUAUUUUUAUUAAUUUUAAGUUUUUUAUUAAAAUAAGGAUUUUAAUUUUUAAUAUUUAGUAAUAAUGAUGGAAUUAGUAUAUAUAUUUAUUUAAUUUAAUUAUUAACUUUAGGUUAGUAAAAGGAAUUCGGCAAAAAAUUUUCCACCUGUUUAAUAAAAACAUGGCCUUUUGAUUAUAAUUUAAGGUCUAGCCUGCCCACUGAAUUUUAAAGGGCCGCGGUACUUUGACCGUGCAAAGGUAGCAUAAUAAUUAGUUUUUUAAUUGAAAGCUGGAAUGAACGGUUGGAUGAGAAAAUAACUGUCUCUUGCUAAUUAUAAUAGAAUUUUAUUUUUGAGUAAGAAAGCUCAAAUGUAAUUAAAAGACGAGAAGACCCUGUAGAGUUUUAUUUUCUUGAAUAUUAUAAUUUAUUAGAAUUUUUAUUUUUAAUAUUUGAGUUAAUUUAGUUGGGGUGAUUGAAAAAUUAGGUAAACUUUUUUUAUAUAAUUACACUUAUUUGUGAUUAUUUGAUCCGGUUAUUCUGAUUAUAAGAUAAAAUUACCUUAGGGAUAACAGCGUUAUUUUUUCUGAGAGUUCUAAUCGAAGAAAAAGUUUGCGACCUCGAUGUUGGAUUAAAAUUUAAUUUUGGUGCAGAAGCUUUAAAUUUAGGUCUGUUCGACCUUUAAAAUUUUACAUGAUCUGAGUUUAGACCGGCGUGAGCCAGGUUGGUUUCUAUCUUUAAUAAAUUAAAAUAUUUUAGUACGAAAGGACCAAGUAUUUGAUAAAGUAUUUUUUUUGUGAAUAUCAUU
rnacentral:rRNA from 1 species